UGGGGAAUCUUCCGCAAUGGACGAAAGUCUGACGGAGCAACGCCGCGUGAGUGAAGAAGGUUUUCGGAUCGUAAAACUCUGCUUUCGGUUUUGGGCCGGAACGUGAGUAUGGUGAACAAUCAUAGUCAGUGACGGUACCAAAGGAGGAAGCCACGGCUAACUACGUGCCAGCAGCCGCGGUAAUACGUAGGUGGCAAGCGUUGUCCGGAAUUAUUGGGCGUAAAGAGCGCGUAGGCGGGAUAGUCAGUCUGUUGUAAAGUGCGGGCUCAACCCCGUGAUCGCAAUGGAAACAGCUAUUCUUGAGUGCAGGAGAGGAAAGUGGAAUUCCCAGUGUAGCGGUGAAAUGCGUAGAUAUUGGGAGGAACACCAGUGGCGAAGGCGACUUUCUGGACUGUGUCUGACGCUGAGGCGCGAAAGCCAGGGGGAGCGAACGGGAUUAGAUACCCCCGGUAGUCCUGGCCGUAAACGAUGGGUACUAGGUGUGGGAGGUAUCGACCCCUUCCGUGCCGGAGUUAACCGCAUAAGUACCCCGCCUGGGGAGUACGGUCGCAAGACUG
rnacentral:rRNA from 1 species